GUGAGCGGGAAGAGCUCAAAUUUGAAAUCUGGUAGCCUUCGGUUGCCCGAGUUGUAAUCUAGAGAAGUGUUUUCCGUGCCGGCCCAUGUACAAGUCCCUUGGAACAGGGCGUCAUAGAGGGUGAGAAUCCCGUCCUUGACAUGGACCCCCGGUGCUUUGUGAUACACUUUCAACGAGUCGAGUUGUUUGGGAAUGCAGCUCAAAAUGGGUGGUGAAUUCCAUCUAAAGCUAAAUAUUGGCGAGAGACCGAUAGCGAACAAGUACCGUGAGGGAAAGAUGAAAAGCACUUUGGAAAGAGAGUUAAACAGUACGUGAAAUUGUUGAAAGGGAAACGAUUGAAGUCAGUCAUGCUCUUGGGACUUACCUCCCUUGAGUGGGGUCAACAUCAGUUUUGAUCGAUGGAUAAAGGCACGGGGAAGGUAGCACUCUCGGGUGAACUUAUAGCCUCGCGUCAUAUACAUUGAUUGGGACUGAGGAACGCAGCAUGCCUUAUGGCCGGGAUUCGUCCACGUACAUGCUUAGGAUGUUGACAUAAUGGCUUUAAACGACCCGUCUUG
rnacentral:rRNA from 1 species